rnacentral:rRNA from 1 species
GGACUACUGGGGUAUCUAAUCCCGUUCGCUCCCCUGGCUUUCGCACAUGAGCGUCAGUUACGAGCCAGAACGCUGCCUUCGCCUUUGGUGUUCUUCCAGAUCUCUACGCAUUUCACCGCUCCACCUGGAAUUCCGCGUCCCUCUCUCGUCCUCAAGUCUUCCAGUUUUCCAAGGCCUGUGGUAGUUAAGCCACCACCUGUCACUCGAAACUUAAAAGACCGCCUGCGUGCGCUUUACGCCCAAUAAAUCCGGACAACGCUUGCCCCCUACGUAUUACCGCGGCUGCUGGCAC